UUGAGAUUGGGGAUAAUAUGGAGCAGAAUUUCCUUCAAUUUGAUCCAGCACCACGUCAGGUUGAACCUGACACCACACGCAGAACUCCUGACUAUUUUUUGUAAUUGUCAUAGCAUACCCUCAGCUGGCAAUUUUUCUAAUUCUCUGUCAUGGUUUUAUAGAGGUGGCUUACAGAAUAGAGGAUUUUUGUUGUUUACUUGGUAAAGAGGUAAAAAGAAACAUUGUUACUGUCAUUCUUUAAGCCACCUCUAUAAAAC
rnacentral:misc_RNA from 1 species